GAUGAACGCUGGCGGCGUGCCUAAUACAUGCAAGUCGAGCGAACAGACGAGGAGCUUGCUCCUUUGACGUUAGCGGCGGACGGGUGAGUAACACGUAGGUAACCUACCUAUAAGACUGGGAUAACUUCGGGAAACCGGAGCUAAUACCGGAUAAUAUUUCGAACCGCAUUGUUCGAUAGUGAAAGAUGGCUUUGCUAUCACUUAUAGAUGGACCUGCGCCGUAUUAGCUAGUUGGUAAGGUAACGGCUUACCAAGGCAACGAUACGUAGCCGACCUGAGAGCGAGAUCGGACACACUGGAACUGAGAAACGGUCGAGACUCCUACGGGAGGCAGCAGUCGGGAAUCCUACGGGAGGCGGCAAUGCCUGACGGAGCACCGCCGCGUGAGGGAUGAAGGUCUUAGGCUCGUAAAACGAUGUUAGUAGGGAAGUAGUAAAGUGUAAGUAACUGUGAUCGUAAUGACGGUACCGAAUCAGAAAGCCACGGCUAACUACGUG
rnacentral:rRNA from 1 species